rnacentral:rRNA from 1 species
UACGUAGGGGGCUAGCGUUGUCCGGAAUUAUUGGGCGUAAAGCGCGUGUAGGCGGUUUGAUAAGUCUGCUGUGAAAGUCGAGGGCUCAACCCUCGAAAGCCGGUGGAUACUGUCAGACUGGAGUACGGAAGAGGCGAGUGGAAUUCCUGGUGUAGCGGUGAAAUGCGCAGAUAUCAGGAGGAACACCAAUUGCGAAGGCAGCUCGCUGGGACGUUACUGACGCUGAGACGCGAAAGCGUGGGGAGCAAACAGGAUUAGAUACCCUGGUAGUCCACGCUGUAAACGAUGGGCACUAGGUGUGGGGGGUGUCGACUCCCCCCGUGCCGGAGCUAACGCAUUAAGUGCCCCGCCUGGGGAGUACGGCCGCAAGGCUAAA